CUCCCCCCAAAAAAACAUUUUCUUUCUCUCUGUUAGAGUGGAACGCUAUGGAGAGAUGUUUGGAAUGAUGUGCCACGUCAGUAUCACAACUUGCUGCACAGUUUGGAGGAAGAAGGCUACCUUGACCUGUCAAAUUCUAUCCACCUCUUCUGUGUGGGAUAUGUGUUCCUACCUCGUCUGCGGGCAGAUCUGCAGCAUUUCACAGAGAGUUGGAAUAAUCACCCUUUAAAUACAGAGGCGAACCUGACGCCUCACCAGCUGUUGCCUUAGCACUACACAACGGAUUCAAAUGAUCAAGUCAUCAUCAAGCUUCAAGUGGUUAUAUCAGCUGUAUUGAUGAACCCCUCCCGCAUCUGAACUGGCUGACACAGAGGGCACAGCAUGAUCAUAGGUAUGAUUUGAUGUGAGAGGAAGCCAGACCUGUUAUCGCCACCUCACAUGCUCUUAAGAUAACCUUCGGGCCAACUGGGGGCCCAAGGCUGGUUAGGAGACACCGCUAGAGACUCUAUGUAAUUGUGAUGAACUGAGAGAAUAUUAGGGUAGCCCUGUAAUUCAUUAAUCAUAUGCUGUCUGCCUCUGUUCUUCGCUCUCUCCCAACCUCGUCUUUCUUACUCGGUUUUUAUGCACACCAUAUGUGCAUUGGAGUACAGAAUGAACUUGUAUUUAUAAUAUAACAUCACAAGUAUCAUAAUUAUAAUGUAUUAUGUA